rnacentral:rRNA from 1 species
CCUACGGGUGGCUGCAGUGGGGAAUAUUGGACAAUGGGGGCAACCCUGAUCCAGCCAUGCCGCGUGUGUGAAGAAGGCCCUCGGGUUGUAAAGCACUUUCAGUGAGGAAGAACGCCUGGUGGUUAAUACCCAUCAGGAAAGACAUCACUCACAGAAGAAGCACCGGCUAACUCCGUGCCAGCAGCCGCGGUAAUACGGAGGGUGCGAGCGUUAAUCGGAAUUACUGGGCGUAAAGCGCGCGUAGGUGGCUUGAUAAGCCGGUUGUGAAAGCCCCGGGCUCAACCUGGGAACGGCAUCCGGAACUGUCAAGCUAGAGUGCAGGAGAGGAAGGUAGAAUUCCCGGUGUAGCGGUGAAAUGCGUAGAGAUCGGGAGGAAUACCAGUGGCGAAGGCGGCCUUCUGGACUGAAACUGACACUGAGGUGCGAAAGCGUGGGUAGCAAACAGGAUUAGAUACCCUGGUAGUC